GCCCGGUUAGCUCAGCUGGUAGAGCAUCAGGCUUUUAACCUGAGGGUCAAGGGUUCGAGUCCCUUAUCGGGCG